rnacentral:lncRNA from 1 species
GGCUGGCUGAAAUGGAUGUUGGAGACCACGUUGGUGAUCUUGUAAGUUGAGCAGACAGUUUCUUUGUUCAAUUAAAGCAUUAGAGAAUCCUCAAGACAAUCUAAUUCUUGGUUUGUGUUCAGUAUGCCAUAAAGAAGUGGCUUGACGAUCUCUUUAUGAGCUAUGGUUUUCGGGUUAAGAUGAUUGAAUAUGAUGAAGUUGCACGAAACCUCAGGCAAGAUUCUGCAAAAAGAGUGUCAGAAGUCAGCACAAGCAUACUUUUUGUUGCAGAGCAUCUACGUUUCUCUGAUGAUCAGGUAGAUUUACUAUACCUUUAUAGGUUUGUGCAAAUGUAUUCUCAUUCUCUUGAGAUCCCUAGUAUCUAAACAUAUUGGUAUCCCAACAGAUGGAAACCUGGAGGACAGAAUUUCAGAGAAUAGAGGAAGAAGGGGAUGAAGAAGGCUUUGAGGAGCUCUAGGGAAGUUGGAAGAGUUUUUUCCUUUUGAGGAGCUCUAGGGAAGUUAGAAAAGUAUAUAUUUCCUUCUACUAGAACUGGCUGUAUUUUGAAUUAACCCUGCAAACUGCAAGCAGUAUAUUACCUGUCGAGAUUCAACCUGCUAUGCCUGUGGCUGUAUCUCAAGCUCCUCCAUCGAUGAUCGAAGAAGAAAGGUUCCCAAAAGGAUCAACACUUAAAAAAGUGCAUGUCAACAUAGGACUUUCGCUCUUUUUUAACUUUGGCGCAUAAGAUCUGCAAGAGUGAGGCACAAUCUGCAUAAAGGAAGUUAUAUAUACAUGCUUCAUACCUUUCAUGUACACCUUAGACCAUUUUCAGAAAUUGGUGUAUGAACUAUUAGCAUUUGUUGCAAUGUAACAGCAAACUUCUUUGUGCAUUCUCCGUGUGACAACUAUUGGAUAUGGAAGCUACAUAUUAGUUGACAAUGACUUGGAGCCUCUUAGUUCCAGUAAGUCAUAGUUGUAUCCUGCUAGCCCAGAAAAAUGAUACAAACACAGAAGUAAAGAGUAUCAAUAUCAGUAGCCAGUAGAAGAAAGAAGAAUAUCCAGAAUUUUUAUCCCUCGAUUGGGAAAAUGAGAAGCUACUACACACAAGAAAUCUAUGAC